rnacentral:rRNA from 1 species
UACGUAGGGGGCAAGCGUUGUCCGGAAUCACUGGGCGUAAAGCGCACGUAGGCGGGUUCUUAAGUCAGGGGUGAAAUCCUGGAGCUCAACUCCAGAACUGCCUUUGAUACUGAGGAUCUUGAGUUCGGGAGAGGUGAGUGGAACUGCGAGUGUAGAGGUGAAAUUCGUAGAUAUUCGCAAGAACACCAGUGGCGAAGGCGGCUCACUGGCCCGAUACUGACGCUGAGGCACGAAAGCGUGGGGAGCAAACAGG